rnacentral:rRNA from 1 species
UACAGAGGGUGCGAGCGUUGUUCGGAAUUAUUGGGCGUAAAGGGCGCGUAGGCGGUGCGGUAAGUCACCUGUGAAAUCUCCUGGCUCAACUGGGAGCUUGCAGGCGAAACUGCCGUGCUGGAGUGUGGGAGAGGUGAGUGGAAUUCCUGGUGUAGCGGUGAAAUGCGCAGAUAUCAGGAGGAACACCGGUGGCGAAGGCGGGUCUCUGGGCAACAACUGACGCUGAGGAGCGAAAGCGUGGGGAGCGAACAGG